rnacentral:rRNA from 1 species
CAUGUAGGCGGAUUAAUAAGUUUGAAGUGAAAUCCUAUAGCUUAACUAUAGAACUGCUUUGAAAACUGUUAAUCCAGAAUGUGGGAGAGGUAGAUGGAAUUUCUGGUGUAGGGGUAAAAUCCGUAGAGAUCAGAAGGAAUACCGAUUGCGAAGGCGAUCUACUGGAACAUUAUUGACGCUGAGAUGCGAAAGCGUGGGGAGCAAACA